rnacentral:rRNA from 1 species
CAGCGCGGACGGGUUAGUAACCGUGGGAAAUACCCCUUUCUACGGAAUAGCCUCGGGAAAUGAGAGUAAUACCGUAUAAGCCCUUCGGGGGAAGAUUUAUCGGGAAGGGAUUGGCCCGCGUUAGAUUAGAUAGUUGGUGGGGUAAUGCCUACCAAGUCUACGAUUAUAGCUGGUUUAGAGAUGAUAGCACACUG